CAGUGGGGCCCUGGAGCUUGGGAGCAGGCAGCCCACCCACCCGGAGCAUGACGAAGCCCCUUGCGGGGCCAGGGGGUUCCCCAUUGGUCCCCGGCUGCUGCCCCUGGCCCCAGGGAGCACAAAGGCCUGCAGAGCUGAUGCACAGACCAGCCAAGCCAACCCCUCCUGUUUCUCCCCCACCCAGGGGCUGCCCAUGCCAAGGUCAUGGCAGUGAGCUCUUUGGACAAGAGACUGUGUCUUCCUGUGCACUGGGACAGUCCGUGGUGCUUCUUCAGUGCUACUGUAAUACAAGAACAUGGCAAAUAAAAAGAUGGAAAUAUUCUCCCCUCUGGAAGCUGUGCAAAUCUGUGCUGUGCUGGAGGACUGUCUUGAUCAGCUUGCUAUUCUUGGAUAUAUUAUGCCAGUUUCCUAUGAGGGCAGGACAGACAUCAGCAAUGCAGGAUGCGAGUGAUGUGAUUGCAGAAACUUUGCAGGAAAUGCAGACUUCAGGAACGUUUCAGAGUCUGCUGCAAGCUGUGCAGAGAGAGAAGGAGAGGAAGUCUAACUUCCACACCACCAUCAUCAGGGAGGAGGAAGGAAGGAAGGAGAUAAAGUCCCUCCAGAAACGGCUGCAAGAUGUCAAGAAAGAAAAGGAAUUAGAACUUCAGAACCGGAAUGAGAUGAUUGCAUACCUCAAAGACCAGCUUCAAGAGAUGAAGGCCAAGACAGACAUGGAGAGCCGCUAUGUGAAGAAAGACACAGAGCUCCAAGUCUACCAGACCCAGAAAAAGUGCAGCAACGCAGAGAGUGACCUGGUCAAUGAAAUUGAGAAGCUGAGGAUCAAAACUGAUGAGGAGAUUAGAGUGCACGUGGAGAUUGAAAAUUUCCUCAGGCAACAACAGAUGAAGUUGGAAGAGAAGCUAGAAUACUGGAUGGAGAAGUAUGAAAAGGACACGGAAUCUAAACAGCAAGAACUGAACACUCUAAAAGCAUCCAAGGCAAAUGAUUUAGCAGCACUGCAGGAACUAGCCAAGCAGUGCCGGUUAUUUGAGCAAGCCAUCAUGGAGGAUCGGGUGGAAAAGGAGGCAGCGAGAAGAAAGGUGGAGCAGGAUGCGCUGGAAUUAAAGAGCAUCAAGAAGCUCCAGGCCUGGUGGAGAGGCACAAUGGUUCGCCAUAACAUCGGUCCCUAUAAGGCCCUGAAGAAGUCUAAAGAGGACGAGCCAAAGGGCAAAGACAAAGGGAAAAAGGAAAAAGCUGGAGCUAAGAAAAGGAAGUGAUGGCCACAGACUCCUGCUCUCAUUAGACCCACGGGCCCUGGAAGUUUGGGCUCUCGCCAGGGAGGAACACUGGCUUGUGUGCACAGAGUAAGAAAUAAAGUCCUCAGCAGAGUUCAGGGCCAGGGCUCUGGGCCAGGCUGGAGUUCAUUUUCUUGACAGGAAGGAGUUUAAGAUGAAGUUUCUUGCACAGGUCUGACCUCUCCAGCUCAAGGUGCCAUGGAAACAGAAUCCACAUCAGAAUCGGUGACUGAGGCAGAGGACUGAGGUCAGGAAAUCCUGUAAUUUCUAAGUUCUUUACUGAGCUGGGUAUUACCCACUUUUUACAGAUGUGAAACCAGAAGCACAGUGAAGCAGCUGAUAUAGCAAAUCAGUGGCCGAAUGGCUCAGGAUGUUAUUAGUCAUGGGACAGGCAGUGCCAUUUUUAGGCUACUUGAUCAAAUUCAGCCUACUUUAGUAAGCAGCUGAAAGUUACCAUACAAUGACUUUUCAGUGACCUAUAUAAAAUGACAUGGAAGGUCUCCAUGUAGUUCUCAGCAGAGAGGUAUCUAUGGAACACCACCACCACCACCACCACCAAACGGCAGCCAUACAGACUGUAACAACUCAGCAGAGCUGUCAAGGACUAAACGGAAUGUCAACCGUUCUCUCAGCCCAGCAAUGGCUCCUCAGGUCUGAGUGAAGACCAGGAUACAGAGGGGAAGAUUACACUACUCCUGCUUACCUGCAAUACUCAGCUGCAGAUAAAAAUGGAGGACUUCACUCUUCAGGGCUGCCAAUUCUGUUGCUUGGCUCAGUACUAAAGUUCAUCAAAAAAAUUAAAAGGUUUUAAAAGCAACGAAGCCAAGAAGUUCUUGGUGCAAGGAGAGGAAGACUCAUUAUUGCUGGGAAAAGGUUGUCAACACUUCACCUAGAACAAUCUAUAAUUGGUGCAUCCCUGAGUCUUUAAUUUAUAGCCAACUCUGACUGUGAACGCUAAGGGACCUCUUCACCACCACUUGUCUACAGCCCCAACAAUAAGAUGGAUGCCUGACGGACAGAAGAUAAAGCACCCACCUUGAAAGUCUUACAAUAUUACAUGUAAAAAUGAAAGGAAAUAGAGUGCAACAGAGCUGCAUGAGUGAAAGAUGGAGUCUCGCAUGGUUCGUAGUACAGUCACCAUUUUUGUUUGGAUUUUGCGGGGGAAGAUCACGCAUCCAAAACUAAAACUUCUCCAUGUGGAAGGGGGACUAGGUCUUCUGGAGGAAGUGUGUUUUAAGGAGGCACACAGAGGAACAGGUGCGAGCCCUGUAGGGCAGUUAAGAAGAGAUGCCAAGUAUAGAGGGCCAGAGACAGCAUGAAGAAUGGACUGUGGUAUAGGAAGUCAAAUUAGAUGAUCUGGUGGUUAGUCUCUUCUGGCCUUAAGCUCUAUGACUGACUGAGAGAAGAUCACACAAGGGGUGAUUAAGUUAUGAGGCUGAGGCAGAGCAGAGGGAGGCCGGACCCAAGCUGUACAGAGUCCUGAGGGUGAAAACCUGGAGCCUGAAAACUGAAGCAAAAGUCAAGAGGCCAUUGGUCAAGGGAUCUGAAGAGUGGACCUGGAGUGGGGGACACGGCCGAUGUGGUAGCACUGUGGACCAACUGGAGGUGGGGUGGGAGGGAGAGCACCAUAUAUGAAGCAAGGUAGGAAGUUCUGUGGCUGCUAGCAACUUUUAGGCCUCUCACUUGUUUGCUGUAAACUCUAGUUACAAAGGAGGGAGGAAAGGAGGAACAAACAUUUUGUGCCAUCAGAAAAACUUUCCUAUUAUUGAGGGGAAGACUGGUGCAAACUUCACAGAACUGAACACUAGACAGGAUAAAUAACAUGAGAACGUAAUACAGAGAGCAGCUGUGCACUGGCUGUGGCUAACAGCCCAUGUGACCUAAAAAGUAUUUUCCACCACUAACUUCUACGAAUGAACGGGGAGCUGAUUCUGAGGAACACUAUAGUUAUUCUCAGGGGCAGGAGCUAGAAAGGCUGCAGAGAAACAGGUUCUGAUUACAUCUGCUGAAAGAAACAUACUGAAUGCAAACAUACACUGUCUCCUUCUCUGGCCCUUCAGUCGUUAUGCUGAAAGAACAAUUUUUUCCUAUACCAAGCUCCUAAGACCACCAGAAAAAACAUCCGUUCUCUUAAUAAAUAUGACAAUUCAGAAAGUAAAUACACACUUGAUACAUAGGAAUUGACAAUCACUGAUGCAAAUAUAAAAAUAUAAGGAGGAAGAAAUAUUUCAGUUCAUGUAGGUUUGAAAACUUUAUUUCAAAUUACCCAGGUAUUUGGUUUUAUAUUAUCAGUGUGCUAGAAGUUCACACAACUAGCAGCAAACAGGCAAUUUAAAAUAACAUACACAAUAUUCUGGCAUAUUAUUACUUAACAGUCUUAGAAAUUAUGGAAUGUAUUUACAGACAUAUAAGUAUAGGCGGAGCUUUAAAAAUCCUUUACUUUAUUAAUUACACGUUUACAAGGUUUUCAGAAACAAAAUUAGAUUGUUUGUAAAACACAGUAUCUAUACAAAAGAUUUUUUUUAUAGGUUUAAAUCCACCUUAGAAUUCCUCUGCUUCUAAAACCAAAAUGUCAAAGAACCAUUUAAUGUCAUAAAAGGAUUAAAAAUCACCAGUUAUCACAUCACUGCUAAGAGCAACAGAAGCGUUCUCAGUGCUGUAAAACGCUGUCGAGAAUUUAAUAACCCAGCCAGGAAGGGGCUUUCCGAACAAGUUUCUCUCGUCGCUAGCUCCCAAGGAGGAGAAACCAAAAUCCCCUAUUUCCUGACCAGACCAUUUCAACACCAUCAAGGACCAUUAAGUGCCAGUGCCACUUCAAUGUCUAUUUCAUAACAUUCUUGAUCCUCAGUGUUCUUCAGUGCUUAGCAAGGUUUGUGUAGGGUCAUAGCACAGUGGAGUUAACAUAAACCUACUAGCAAGCACUACACUCUGAAAUGGAUUCUUCCCCAACACAAACUCCCCAAAAGGGCAAGACCACAAUUGAUUCUUGAUUUAGCACACAAAAUGAAAUCAAAUACGUUUUCUUUAAAAUAUUUUUUCACUGGAUAUAACAAAAAUUGCACAUAAAUAUACACCUCUACCUCGAUAUAACGCUGUCCUCGGGAGCCAAAACAUCUUAUUGUGUUACAGGAGAAACCGCAUUAUAGCGAACUUGAUUUGAUCCGCCGAAGCGCAGCCCCGCCCCCCCAGAGCACUGCUUUACUGUGUUAUAUCCCAAUUUGUGUUAUAUUGGGUGGUGUUAUAACGGGGUAGAGGUGUACCAAAAAAUCCCAACCCAUUUAAUUACAACAGAAAAUGGAAGUGUUUUUUGGUAUAAUACAUCACAAAUAAACCGUGUCUUGAAAUUUCAGAUUUGGAUUUUCAUCCUUGAUGUCUGGUCAACAUUUAGUGUUUGCCAGCACGAAAA